ensembl:lncRNA
AGAUUUUAUAGCCCAAUAUUAAUUUCAGUGUUCAUCUCUAUCUCUCAAUUACGGAAAACAUCCGUUGUUUUAAUUAGCUGUGCAACAAGGAUUUUCUGUAGUUAUUUUUCUCCUUUUCCCACCAAUUAAAAACAUUUUGUUUCUGACAGUGGCAGAAAACCUUUCCUACAAAUCUCUUACUGCCUUUGCUGACCACUUCCUCACAAAAGUAGUUUUGUCAGAGGUGUGUUCUUCUUCGUCAAGCGUCUUUCACCAUAGGAAGAUGUUUUAAUUACGUGUGAAUACAAUAUUUAUUAGGGAUCAUGAUCCAGGUUUGGCAAAGGUUAAGAGUAUUUAACUGGACACUUCAGUUAUCUGAUUUUUUUAAGAAUAAUACUCUGAGACAUUUUACUGUUAAAAAUUCCCGUUUUAUAUACGUGGAGAGACACAGGCUUAAGUCAAUAUUAGCAACUGGUGUGGAACACUAGAAAAACUGACACUGUUAAUAACGCAAGUUUUGGAGUGAGAGGAGAUCACUCAGACUCUUUCUUGUCUGGUCUCAUGACUGGGCAGCCUUUGGUGGCUGAAAUCAUUAUGUUAGGUUGGCUCUGGUUUAGUUUUAUCUGGAAGGAUGCCAGGCACUGUGCAAUAAAUCCAAUCCAUAUGAACCAAAGCAUAGUAAGUGGGGAUGGUCUGAAAAUUCACUUCAAAGAUUCUUUUGUGUUCUGAACUGAAACAAUAAUAUGGAAGUGAUUUAGAUGUCAGAGAAGUCUUUCCAGCACAGUAGACUGUGCUGUGAAGUACACCAAGAUGUAGAAACUGAACCAACUCAGGCAUUUACUUCUGUAGAAGGGAAAAAUACAAAUUGUGGCAAGAUUACCAAAUGUUCUACUUCUGCCUUAAAAAUGACACCAUAAUUUAUAUAUAGAUCCUUAUUCAAAGGGAUCCUUAUUGAGACUUCUGUCACAGCGUGGACUGUAUUUUAUUGUGUAUAGAUUUCUUUUCUGUGAUCACUAUUAACAAAAAUCAGGGCUAAUUUUUGCUAUUUUGUUGACAACGUACUUCUACUGUGGUCAGUAAGCAUGUGAUAGCUUUAUACAGAAUCUUUACGAGGCACUUGAGGGACAGAAAGGUGACCUGAGACAGCCAGCAUAGCUUCACCAUGGGAAGUUCAUGCCUGGUGAUGGAGUGGCAGCAUUGGUAGACAAAGGGAAGGCAACUGAGGUCAUCUUCCUGGGCUUGUGCAAGACUUUUGACAUGGUCCUCCACCGUAUCCUUUGUCCCAAAAUUGGAGAUAUAUGGAUUCAAAGGGUGAACUAUUUGGUGGAUAAGGAUUUGGUUGGAAGAUUGUAGCCUGAGGGUUGUGGUCAAUGGCUUUAUGUCCAAGGGGAGGCAGAUCACAAGUUGUAUCCCUCAGGGGUCUUAGUACUGGUGUUCUUUAAUAUCUUUAUCAGUGACAUAGACAGUGCGACUGAGCUCACCCUCAGCAAAUUUGCUGAUGACUCCAAGCUGAGUGGUGCAGUCGAUAUGGCAUAAGGAAGGGGUGCUAUCCAGAGGGACCUUGAUAAUAUCAAAAGGUAGGCCCAUGUGAGCCUAAUGAGGUUCAACAAAGAAAAGUGCAAGAUUUUGCACUUGGGUCAAGAUAGUCCCAGACGUGUAUGCAGACUGGGAGAAGAACUCUUUGAGAGUAGCCCUGCUAAGAAAGACUUAAGGAUCUUGGUAGAUGAAAAACUUAACAUGAGCCAGUAGUGUGUGCUAGCAGUCUAGCAGACCAAUGGUAUCCUGGGUGCAUCAGAAGAGGGAUGGCCAGCAGUGUGAGGGAGAUGACUGUCCCUCUCUGCUCUGCCCUCGAAAGGCCCAUGGUGGAGCACUGCAUCCAGAUCUCAGGCCCCCAACACAGGAAAGAUGAGGACCAUUCAGAGAGGGUCCAGAGGAGGUUCAUGAAAAUGAUCAAAGGGCUGGAGCACCUCUCCUACAAAGGCUGAAGGAACUGGGCUUGUUCAGCCUAGAGUAGAGAAGGCUGCGAGGAGACCUCAUUGCAGCCUUCCAAUAUUUAACGAGAAAUUAUAAACAGGAGGGAAAUUAACUUUUGACAUGGAUAGAUAGUGACAGAACAAGGAGAAAGGGUUUCAAACUAAGUGAGGGAAGAUUUAGAUUAGACGUAGGGGAGGGUUGUGAGGUUCUGGAACAGGUUGCCCAGAGAAGUAGUAAUGCUCUGUCCCUAGAUGUGUUAAGACUGGGUUGGAUGGGGCCCUGGACAACCUGAUCUGGUACCUAAUCUAGUGGUUGGCAACCCUGCCUGAAGGGGGAAGUGGGAGCCUGAUGAUCCUAGAUGUCCCUUUCAACCCAAGCCAUUCUAUGAUUCUGUGAUUCUUUAUGUCUUCUGUGUAUUGUUUAAUAUAAAUUCUGAAAUUAAAUCUCUCUUUUUUUUCCUGUGUGUGUGCGCCCCAAAUCAAGUUGUUUGAGAAAUAAAUGUUUCAAUUACUUGUAAUACAAACACAUAAGUAAACUGAAGGGCAAACAAUUAGAAAAACAAUUUUCAGUCUGUAGAAAAAUUGCUAGAUAUAUUAUGAUAUUUUUGCACCAGUAUUUCAUGAGCUCUCUAUAAUACUUCUUCUACUCUGAAAUGCUCUAAAAUUAGAUUUUUGUUCUGAUAUCUAAGAAAUCUAGUGAAAUCCAGGAGCUGAUGUUGUAUGAUUUGAAAACAUCAGAACAUUAAUUGUUGCUAAAUAUGUUAUUUGUUACCCCAAUUUCUCACUUUCACAGCAAAAACUAGAAGGGAAAGAAUGUAUUUCAAUCCAAAAGCAAAAUUUUAAGACAAAGGCUUGCUUCUGCGUGUUUGGGAGCAGAUUAUUCAAACUGGGGAAGAAAUGUGUAUUUUAUGAAUUCAGAAAUUAAUUUGUCCAGAAAAUUAGCCUUAAUCUCAGCUCUUUUCUCUAUGCAUACGGGAUGCCUUUUUGUUUGAUUCUCCACACUUCCUUUAUUUCACUCCUUAGCAAGUUCCCUUGCUUUUUCUCAAGAAGAAUCCAAUGGCACAUGAUUCAGAAGGAACACAUAUUGAGCUGUAAUAGCCCCCUGGUCUGGACAGCCAGGAAAAGUUUUAUGUGGGUUUGGACAAAGCCACAGAGAGGCAGAGACUAAACAUUUUUCAGUCCUUGCUCCUCUGUCAUUCUCCACAGUGCCUGUAGAACAGAAAGCAAGGCAGAUAGAACUCCAUCCAGCCUUGCAAAAUGUUAAACUUUACUGUGGUAUGAGAGUGAAUUAUCAUUCAACAUUCAAUUUCUUAAGUUUCUCACUGUCUUAUCACAGUACUGACUUUGGGAAUAAUUUUUGAGUCAUGAGUAAAGCCACCGGUCAAGAAUAUGUAUUUCCAAAAUAG